AGCUUUUUGCAGUGGCAGGAUCAUAACCAAUGAGGAUUAUCCAAGGUACAAGUAUUGAAAUUGGAAACUUUUCCCAAUACCCAGCCCUGGUUGGGUAUUGCAAUAUAGUCAGCACUGACAGUUUGUGACAGUCUCUGUGGAGA